AUAAAUAAAAAUAAAGAUGUUGUGUCCAAUUACAACUAAAAAAAAUAUAUAUUUUUUAAAAAGAAUAUAGUAUGAUGCAUUUUGACAAAGGCAGUCUUACUGUCCCCACCAGUUUUGACAGAGGAUACUUUCAUCACACCCACUCCAGAGCUUAACCUUGAGUUCUGCAUGCUUGAAGGCAGUUCUUUCCCCCUGCCUCAACCUCUUAUAAUCAGUCUGAUUCUGUCUCUAUUAGAAAACGCGUGUGUGUCGGGGGGGGGGGUAUUUUUGCUACUAGGAGUUUAAAGAUGGGAACUAUACCACUGAACUACAGUCCUAGUCUUUUUAAAUUUUGAGACAGGUCUUGCUAAGUUGUGUAGGCUGGUGUCAAGCUUGCAGUCCUCCUGACUCAGCUUCCCAAGUCAUUGGGAUUACAGAUUUGUGCCACCACUCCCAGCAGAAAACUUGUGUACUCUUAAAAUUUCUUUUCUUUUUUUUGUAGAUGGACAUAAUGCCUUUUAUUUUAUUUAUUUAUUUUUAUGUGGUGCUGAGGCUCGAACCCAGUGCCUCAGAUGUGCUAGGCAAGUGUUCUACCACUGAGCUACAACCCCAGCCCUCGUAUAUUAUAAUAUAAAGCUCACCUAUGUUUAUUGUCAUAGCCAAUAUAAUUUUAAAAUAAGAGGCUGGGGGCAUAGCUCAGGGGUAGAAUGUGCAGCACAAGACCCUGGGUUCAGUUCCCAUCAACAAUAAAUAAUUAAGGGUUUGGUUUAGAUGGUCAGGGACACCUGAAGCAAUUGUUGCCCUCUGCUCACAAACAUAAUUCUUCUUUUUUCCUUUUUCUCCUGCUUGUUUUCUUUUUUUUUUGUCUUCUACCCUGAGGCUUGUGCCUAGGUGGGUAGGAUGACUGGAAGAUAAAGAAAACCUCAAUGUUUGUCAAUGACAGUCAUUUGAUUUUAAAGCACCGUGGAUUGAGAGACUUUUUUUGUUUUGUUUUGUUUGCACUGGGGACUGAACCCAGAGGCUCUCAACCACUGA
rnacentral:lncRNA from 1 species